rnacentral:rRNA from 1 species
UACAGAGGUCCCGAGCGUUGUUCGGAUUCACUGGGCGUAAAGGGUGCGUAGGUGGCGAUGAAAGUUCGAUGUGAAAUCUCCGGGCUUAACCCGGAAAAGGCAUUGAAAACUAUGUUGCUUGAGGUUUGGAGGGGGGGGGACUGAAUUCUUGGUGUAGCAGUGAAAUGCGUAGAUAUCAAGAGGAACACCAGUGGCGAAGGCGGGUCCCUGGACAACUCCUGACACUGAGGCACGAAAGCUAGGGGAGCAAGCAGG